rnacentral:rRNA from 1 species
GAUGAACGCUGGCGGCGUGCCUAAUACAUGCAAGUCGAACGCACAGCGAAAGGUGCUUGCACCUUUCAAGUGAGUGGCGAACGGGUGAGUAACACGUGGACAACCUGCCUCAAGGCUGGGGAUAACAUUUGGAAACAGAUGCUAAUACCGAAUAAAACUCAGUGUCGCAUGACACAAAGUUAAAAGGCGCUUUGGCGUCACCUAGAGAUGGAUCCGCGGUGCAUUAGUUAGUUGGUGGGGUAAAGGCCUACCAAGACAAUGAUGCAUAGCCGCGUUGAGAGACUGAUCGGCCACAUUGGGACUGGGACACGGCCCAAACUCCUACGGGAGGCUGCAGUAGGGAAUCUUCCACAAUGGGCGAAAGCCUGAUGGAGCAACGCCGCGUGUGUGAUGAAGGCUUUCGGGUCGUAAAGCACUGUUGUAUGGGAAGAACAGCUAGAAUAGGGAAUGAUUUUAGUUUGACGGUACCAUACCAGAAAGGGACGGCUAAAUACGUGCCAGCAGCCGCAGUAA